CUCCCGCCUCUCAGCUGAUCGGCGGGUGGGCGGGGCUUCCACGGAGGCCUCCGUGUAGGCCGCAGUGAAGCCUGAACUCGAGUAGGGCCCAAGCCAGCCAGGAAGGAGGAGGCAGCCAGAGUGUUCUCUGCAGCAGAAGACCCCCUGCUGCACUGCUUAACCCAGACCAGCAUUUGCCAGGAACUAGCACUGCUGUUCAUGUUGCCCACCAAACAUAAUUUCAUGACUGUCCAAAAUUACAUAAAACUCAUAGCCUGCCUUUCUAAUACAAAAUGGAGCAAUAAAAAAACCAAACCACAACAGAAGAGAGCAAAACUGUAGCGGGAGGAAAUCACAGACCCUUGCACAGGGCUCAGUAAGAAAUCUUGUAAUAAUGUAUAUUAUAUGCCAAAUUAUAACUGCAUAAUUUGAUAUCCUCUCAUAAUAGAUAGAAAAUACAAAAUGAACUAAGAACCUACCCCUUUUUAAACAACUUGGAACAUCCUUGUCACUUAAUGAAAAGUAACUGCAGUGGGAAAUGUCCCUUCCUGGAGGUCACAGUAAUCUUAAAAGCAGCGGUGGUCGAUUCAACAUGAUGUAUAUCAGUCCAAUAACCAGACAGCAUAUCACAUUCUAUGAUCAGGGCUUCCCCCACCCCUUUAAAAGACAGCUAGAUUUGCUGGUUCAGCAAUCUUAGAACUAAAAAUAUUUUUAGUGCCCUCUUUUAAACCGCAGAGCCAGAAAGCGGCUGAAUCUUGAUUAAGUGACAGCCAGGCUGCUGUACCUUGAAUGACUAGCCUGAUGUGUGAUUUCCUAUCAUCCUGUUCAAUGAACCACUAAGGUGAAUGCAAUCAAGAACAGUGACUUGCAUGGGGAGUUUACAGCAGAAUAAUUGUAGGGAAUGGGUUGAAAUUAAAAUCCUUUAAAAGAUGGACCGUCUGCAGGUCUCUGUACCCAACAUAUUACAUGCAUAUUUUUAAAGAUGGAAAACAUCAAACGCUAUGUGAAAAAGCAGAGUCUGCUUCUUUUAGAUAACAAAAACCCAUGCAUUGUAAUCCAAGAACAGGUUGGCUAAAGAAUUCUGAUUUAUGCCAGUUUUUAUCAUACUGUAAUUGAGUGGCUCCAGGAUUCCUUGUGGCCCAUUUCCCUGUGAAGCACUGCAUUGGGACCAUUGCAUGUCUAUAAGUCAGU